rfam:Chloroflexi bacterium RBG_13_56_8 RBG_13_scaffold_2920, whole genome shotgun sequence.
GAGCCGUUAGCUCAGUUGGUAGAGCCCCUGCCUUUUAAGCAGGUUGUCGCGCGUUCGAGUCGCGCACGGCUCA